rnacentral:lncRNA from 1 species
UUUCAUGAUUUUUAAGGUAUGAUAAUCUAUACAUAAUCCAUUUUAAUCAUUCCAUUGUUAAAUGUGACUGUCUUCAUCAUAUUUACUAAAGCAUACCAGUUUGUAAUGUAAAUUUAAUACGAAAUUGAAUGACGCCUACAUUACACACACAUUUAACCUUGUAUGUGUUCAGAGAUCUAGAUUUGCCAUAGCUAAUCUGUACUAUAGCUAGAUAAUAUGAUAUUUACCAACUAUCUAUAAUUAUUUAUUUCACUUCAGAAAGAAUCAAUGGGUCACCCACACGCCCUUUUUUUGAAAAAGAAUUGCCCUUUUAAAAGAGUGAUAUGCAACCACUUCAACAUUAUAAACUAAUAUGAGAAACUCAUUGAUAUGAAAAUGCAACCAAUUUUAAAUUAAUAAUAUUUUGUAAGGUAGACCUAUCCGGUCUUAUAAUGAUCGAAUUGACCUUUAUGUACUAAAAUAGAGAGGCCGGUCAUAUCAACUGCAUACCAAAAAGUAAAACAAAAAAAUAGCGAACUCCAAAGAACUCACUGCUUUCGUUUGUUAUUAAGUUGGAAUGGUAAUAGUUCAUUUUGUUAUUUUCUUUGGUUAUAUCUUCUGACAUACUCGGACUUCAGUUAAGUGCGUACGUUUACUUUUCUACAUUGGCUGAAGGUAUAGGGGAGGGUCUCACCAUGUUUAACCCCGCCGCAUUUUGCAAGUCAAGCCUCUGGCCUUUGUUAGUCUUGUAUUAUUUUAAUUUUAGUUCACAAUUUGGAAAUUAUGUAUGGCGUUCAUUAUCACUGAACUAGUAUAUAUUUGUUUAGGGGCCAGUUGAAGGACGCCUCCGGGUACGGGAAUGUCUCGCUACAUUGAAGACCUGUUGGUGACCUUCUGCUGUUGUUUUUUUCUAUGGUCGGGUUGUUGUCUCCUUGGCACAUUCCCCAUUUCCAUUCUCAAUUUCAAUUUCAGUUAAGACACACAAUGUCUACCAUGCAAACCAUGCAUAACCUUGAACUUCAGCUUCAUCGCAAAAUUUCCUAAUGGCCAGAUUUGAUUAUUUAUCAAUGGAUCUAUUUCAAAUGAUUUACUUCCUUGUAAAAAGAAAUUCCUCGGUACGCGUACAUUUUUGGCUACAAAAUCAAAAUACGAUGAUUGUGUGCAUUUUCGGACAUUAAAGCUGAUUGAAUACUUUUGCCUCUACCUAGGAUACGAAUGGUCUGUUACAAAUAUUUGCUAAUAAUGAUGAGAAUGAAUCCCUAGACACAAUAACGUUCUGGAUUUUUGAUGGCGGAUAAAGUAAAAUAUGCUAAAAAAGGUUAAGAAUUAUUGAAAAUCAACAGUGUUAAAAUAAUCAAGACAUCGUCAUAUUUAAAAUGAUGUGUAAAACUUAAGUUAUUUUGUAAUAUCAUAACAAUUUCUUUGUCCUGUUUGUAGUAUUAUGGCCUGAUUAAAAAAAAACAUUCAAAAUCUUAGGACCAAUUUUGACCAUUCGUGAACUUACACCUUUUUAAAGAAUGUGAAACUUUACUUUUAUAAUAAAAAAGUACUGAUUUAUAAAGAUUUAGAACUUUUUUUUUAAAACCUGUUAGAUUUGUAAAAAUAUUUUAACUGGUUUAGUUUGCAGUUUGAUGGUCAAUUCAAUUACUGUGAACGUGUGUGUGAAAAGAGGGAACAUAUAUACCAGAGGGACAAUCAAAUUAAUCCAUUUUCAGAUAAACAGAAUAUAAUUAUAAAUGUUAAAGGCAGUCAGAUUAGGGAACUUAAAAAGAAUGUCAUUGUGACCUCUUUAGAAUGAGAUUCUAGAAAGCGGGUGCUUAAUGGUCGUUAUUUUUAUUCUUUCAGCCAUAUUUUCUUUCUUUCAUUAUUUCGCCCAUCAAUUUAUAAUUCGUUGCCAUAUCCAGACUCUGAAGUGUAAAACAUAUUGUUUUGAUCUAUUUAUUUUAAAAAAUCGAUCAUUCCAGAACUUGUUCAAACUGAACUUUUAAUAAAGAAUAAGAAAAACUGAUUUAUGACAAUUCAUAAAAUUAAUAUAUUUAUAUUGUUUAUACACAAAAGAAGAUUUAUUUGACAUUGUCGGAUAAUAUUUUUAAUUUCAGAUUUAGAGUUGCUACACCAGUCUUGAUAAUCUAAUAAUAAAUAGAUCCUACAAUUUUAAUGCGUUUUUUUGAUCGGGUUUCAUUACUACAUAUUUGACAUAGAUAAUCUACUACUUGAGUAUUUAUACAAAAUAAACUCUUUUUUGGCAUUUAACUGUACUAUAUUGCGCUGCACAGAUGCGCAUUUCGACCAUAAAUGCCUCUUCGGUGAUGAACAAGGCUAGAUAUUUGAAAGUUCCAUAUCUUAUUAAACAUGUCGAACAAAUAAAAAAAAAAAAAAAAACAAAAACAACAUAUUAGUAUCGUAAUAGAUUACUGGUCUAGCAGUUCAUUAGCCGAGUAUUCUACCUAGUUUGUGCAAUAAAAUAUGUGGUCGGUCCUAAUUUCUCUUCAAGAUGCUCAUUUUGAUCGCUAUUGUCCUUUUAGUGAUGCCAAAAGUCAAAAUAUUUUUAAUUCAAAAAUUAUUAAACAAAAGAAGAGCUUAAAAAAGAAAAAAAUAAUAAUGAAUGUGGCCAAAACCCGACAAACAACCUGAGCCAUAAAUAAGUUAGUAAUGACUUCUGAAUUAAUAUUAUUCAUUAUUUGUGUUGAAAUUCAGUUUGGACCAAUGUUUAACCAAAAGUUUGUUUUGCGUAAUUCAUUUUAGCUGCAACCCCUGCAGCAGAUAAUAACUGUGUCUACGAAUCUAUUAUAAUUAUUGACUCCUUUUUGGUUAUUUGACAUAAUAGAUCGUAGAUUGCAGCUUAAGAUUUCCUUAAGAUUAAAUGUCGUUAAAAGCACACAGUUUCGACAAUACUUAUACAUCCAAAUUGUGGGUUAUGGAGCCUUCGAUGUUCACUUAUAAAACAAUCAUUUGUUCCCUAGCACUUGGGCCUUUGGAAUAGAUCAAUUUAAGAACCUUUUAAUUUUUUUAUUAUUAUAAUUAUGUUGAAAGGAAAAGGCAAUAUUUGGCAAACAUAGAUCACGUCCUUCGCUCUUAACACUAGCUCAACAUUUUCAAUAAGUGUCGACUGAAGGGAAACAACCCAAACAAAUAAGUCGGUAAUAUUGGGACAAUAACGGAAAUGUCCAAUAACAUAUAUUGAGUAAUCCACGAAUAUGAACGUAGAUAACAAAAUUUUCCCGGUUUAUGUCCGAAUCGGGGGAUAUUCAGGGAGAAAAAAGGUGUUACGUGAAAGCAACUUUUUAGAAAAUUUUAAAAAAAAUGUUAUUAUUAAUUUUACAAUUCCACAUUUCUUUUACCGUAUGUAAGGUAACCCUACAUAUAUUUAAAUAUAGUCUUAGACGGCGGAAAAUCAACGUGGGUAAUUUGCAUAACUAGGUCAGUAGUCCCAUAAUUAACGACAUUGUAUACACUGAUAAUAUCGUUAGUUGUUUACAUAUUUGAUGAAAAAAACCAACAACAUCAUAAAUAAUCUACAGAAAUCAAGUUUGCACAUAUAACAACUACUGGACAAAACAAAAAAGGCAUGAACCGUUGGUAGUGGGGUGCAACAAACCCGUGGCAUAUUUUUUUAACGACCUGUCAUUAUCCAAUCGAAAUCCGUGAACUAUGACAAGCCGAGCAUAAUCAUCCAAAUGAAAAAAAUAUAUCAUAUUAUUCACAUUUUGUUUGUUAAGUUACAACUACAGUGUCACCCAUUUGUAAAAUUCAAGACUCAUUUGUUUUGUAGAAUGGCGAGUAAUUGGACUGUUUGUGGUGUAUGUAAUUUCCGAAACAUCAACAAAGCAUCAGUAGUGUGGUGUUCAGAAUGUGACGAGGGACUUUGUGGCGAGUGUAGAGAGCACCAUGGUGCAUCAAAAUCAACUAGGAACCAUGACACUAUUUCAAUUACAGAAUAUCAGAAGCUACCAACAAAUGUGUUAGAGAUAACACAAACAUGUCAAAAACACAAAGAACACUAUCAAACAUUCUGUAAGAAACAUGAUUGCCCGUGCUGUAGGAGGUGUGUUAUUGAGACACAUAAUGAUUGUAAUGAUUUGACAGCAAUAGAGGACAUCGUCAAAAAUGUCAAGUCAUCGAAUGCGUGGUUAGAGGUAGAGCAAAUAUUGGUCCAAAUGUUGAAAAAUGUACAAAGAAUUCGUAACGAUCGCACAGAAAAUUUAAAAUGUCUACAGGAUCAGAGGGUAGAGAUUGAACGUGAUAUAAACCAAACCCGGAAAAUGAUCAACGACCACUUAGACAAAAUACAGGACAAAAUAAUUAAAGAAUUAUAUGCUAAUGAAGAAAAUGAAAGUAAGAGAAUAAAGCUGUUGUUGUGUGAGAUUGAAGACAUUGAAAAGGGAAUUUCUGACCUCCAAGGUAACCAAAAUAACAUAAGGCAACAUGCAUCAGAACUUCAAACAUUUUUAGCAUUAAAGCACAUUGAAAAAGAGGUUUCUGAUAAAGCAGAAUGUAUUCAGUCCGUCCUUAAGAACGAGGACAUGAAGAUAAAAACACUGGCUUUGGAGGUUAACAAAGACGUACAAAACAUUUGCAGGGCUGAUUGUUUUGGGUCCGUUAGUGUUGAGU